UGACUUUUUGGUCUAGAAUUGGAGAAAAGGGAUCAAAUUUGCAAUUUCAUAGCAGUUUUGGGUAAUACUGAUGAUAUUACAGCGGAGGGAUAGGGGGUGUAAAGUGUCUUUCUGCAGAGCAGUCAUUGUGUCGGAAGUGAGAUUUUCACCCCAGUCAACUUCAAAUCCGUGUAGCAAAAAAUCUAAAUGGUCAACCCCCUACAAAAUUAUGAUGAGGAGAUUGCCAAAUGUUGUCCCCAUUGUGCCUAUAAAGAUUGGAACCAACGGAAUGUUGAGAAAAAAGCUACAGCCUGUGAUGUUACAGCCAUUUAACAUUGAAGUCAAUGGGCAAAUAAUUGCUAGUCUGAGUCCUGAUGAGAUAAAGAAACAUGGCCGACUCGGGAUGUUGAUAUUUUUUCAAGGGCUUAUUUCCUGAAGUUUUGAAUGGAAAGUGUCAGAAAUAGUAAGAAUACUGCUUUUUUAUUGCCCAGCAGUGCCAGGGCAAUGUUUCAUAGAGUGGAAUGAUUGACCUCAACACAAGUAUUAAAAAAAAAGAAGCAAAACAGGUCUACAUCUCAAAACCUGAUCUCUUCCUGGACUGGCUUUAGGAGAACGAUGAUGCAUAUCAAUUUCAUCCCUGAUCUCUAUGACACCUGUGGUGGAAGUGGAGGGCAAAUCGUAAUCAGUUUGGGACCUCUGUAAACUUUGCUUUUUGGUGAUGACUUAAUUUCCGAGCUUGAAAAGGACGCUUGUGUGUUUAUCAUGGCCUCUCAUAUUGGAAGAUAACAUUAAUGGCUUGUGUGUUGAUCGACGGUUGUGCAUAUCUCUUGGUCAGGAAAGUUGUAGGCACCAUCGCCAUUGUAAAUCAUUUGACAGGCUCGAGUGAACGGGGCGACCUAUGAUUGGUCAGCAAUGUAUCAGAUUCCAUACCGGGGGGUGGGGAUGAAAAAACUGUUGUAGUGUUACAUAAUCAGAUUAUUUCAACUUACUUAUCCUGUGGAAAUACAGCUAUAUAGGAGAUAUUUUGAAAUUCAUAGGCACUGCAUGUUUCAACAUUUUAGAUUUGACCACAAUUUGGCACUUAAAACUAUGUUAACAGAGAAAAACUGUGUGGUUUUCGAUGAAAGUGUUAAAAGUCUAAUAUUGCAUCAUGAUUACUGUUUUAAAGUAUUUUCGUGUUUGAUUUAUAUUGAAUUCAUCUCAUCUUUUUGAAGAAUGCAUUUAUGUUCAAAAAUAAAAAUGUUCUGUGGAAUUCAAAAUUCAUGUGCUUUUAAAUUAUCAGAUUCCAAACUGGGGGGUAGGGAUGAAAAAGCUGUUGUAGUGUUACAUAAUCAGAUUAUUUCAACUUACUUAUCCUAUGGAAAUACAGCUAUAUAGGAGAUAUUUUAAAAUUGAUAGGCACUGCAUGUUUCAACAUUUUAGAUUUGACCACAAUUUGGCACUUGAAACUACGUUAACAGAGAAAAACUGUGUGGUUUUCGAUGAAAGUGUUAAAAAGUCUAAUAUUGCAUCAUGAUUACUGUUUUAA